rnacentral:rRNA from 1 species
UCCACCGAUUGACUAAGGUUUCCAGAGGAAGGCUCGUCCGCUCUGGGUUAGUCGGGUCCUAAGCUGAGGCCGACAGGCGUAGGCGAUGGAUAACAGGUUGAUAUUCCUGUACCACCUAUAAUCGUUUUAAUCGAUGGGGGGACGCAGUAGGAUAGGCGAAGCGUGCGAUUGGAUUGCACGUCUAAGCAGUAAGGCUGAGUAUUAGGCAAAUCCGGUACUCGUUAAGGCUGAGCUGUGAUGGGGAGAAGACAUUGUGUCUUCGAGUCGUUGAUUUCACACUGCCGAGAAAAGCCUCUAGAUAGAAAAUAGGUGCCCGUACCGCAAACCGACACAGGUAGUCAAGAUGAGAAUUCUAAGGUGAGCGAGCGAACUCUCGUUAAGGAACUCGGCAAAAUGACCCCGUAACUUCGGGAGA